rnacentral:lncRNA from 1 species
AAAAGGUCCAGUGGUGUGGGCAUGUCGGGUCAUCUCCUCUGACGUAAAGGGCAGCUCAUUGCACCCUGUCCCUUCCACCAUCAGGAAAGAAGCACAACUCUCAGUGGCGUCUCUGGGUUUGGGGAACAGCGCAUUCAACACUGGGGACUCCUGCUUUGGCCCAUUUCUUGGGUGACACAGAAGGCUGCAAGUUUGGAGCGUCUAUGAUGCAUGCAUCCGUGCUUGGGACACGUGACCCGCCAGACCCUGGGGUCCUAGAGGUAUCUGUAGGAGAAAAGCUCCCAUAGGAAAGCCGUAGUGCAGGUCCCGAGGUGCUGGAACAAGGCCAUGCCAUUUGCAGAAGAGAAGGGCUCCUGAGAUGCCACCAGGCCCCAUUAGAAACUAAGCAUCUGACUGGGGGACAUCCAGUGGCCAAGUGGCCACAACUUUUCAUCAUGAGCUGAUGAGCCACCUGCCAGCUCACAAGGCCAGGCCUCUGUCACAACACAGAAGGGCACAUCAGGGAUGGGCUCACAAAGGUCCCGAAGCUGCAUGAACAGGAGGCCUAGAUCCCAUGCCACCUACCACUGUUGCACCAAUGCCCCUCUCAGCUCACACCUCGUGGGGGUCUCCCCGUGACCAGCUGAGAGGACGGACAAGGCUGAGGUUGGUUCGUGCAUGGAUCGGGCUCAGUGUUGGUGUGCGCUGAAGACAAUUGCGGUUGCACUCACUUCCUGCUGGGGGCGUGGCCUCAAAGACAGUGGGCGGAGCUUUGGGUGGACCCCUGGCCACCUAUGUGUGUAAAGAGAGAAGUGGCCUGAGGUCAGGGUAUGCGUGGGCUCAGGGGCAGUGGCUGAACUGGUCGGGAGAGUCUGCAAGGAGCAAGACAGGAAGAAUGGGAAGAUGUGGGGGAGGCGUGUGCGUGGACUGGGGGAGGGGCACACCGCGUGAGGAUCCUCGUCUCCCACGUUAACCCCUGGGAGCAUCCGGUGCACAGGGACACUAAACAACCAGGUGGACGGGAUGACCCUGCCAGCCUUUGUCCUGGGCGGCCACCGCACUUGGGCCACAGGCUCAUGAAGUGGAACAGUUACGGUGGCAGAGCUGGACGCCACUCCUGGGCCCGAGAGAAGGUGUUUCUACUCAUCGAGGCUGCUGUGGUUGCUGCACCUCUGCGUGUCUGACCUGUCAGCUACUGAGGCCGACUCUAAGCUCCCGAGAUGGUACCAUCCCCUUGAGGCGGCCAACCAGCCAGGCACUUGGUGGCAAGUUAAUUUCAUUGGACCCCCUUCCAUCUUGGAAAAGGCAGGUGGCUGAUUCACUGGCGUGGAUCCUGAGCAACACCACCCAUGGCCAAGGGAUUGACCUUCUGGGAAAAGUGCAGCAGCAGGGGACGUGGUAAGGGUUCCACCCAACUUCAAGCUGCCGUUCUGCCUGUCUCUCUGGGCCCCCGUGCCAGUGGCGCAGCAGGCACAGAAAGGCGACUCCAUGCGGGCAGGAUGCGAGGUCCCGGCCAUCAUGAGGAACCAGUGCUGCUGGAUGGUGGGGACAGGGAGGGUGUGACGGGCACUCAGGUGUCCACCCAGGUGGGUCUUGGUACUCCCGUGCCCAGUGUUACCGUAAAUGGCACAUACAGCAACCAUGGCCUGAUGAGGGCGUGGGAAGCGGGGCCUCAGACCCCUCAGGGGUGGGAGCCUGGGUCACCCCACCGGGCACGACACCCAGCCCAGCAGUGGGGGAGGAGGCAGAGGAGGGCGAUGGUGAGUAUCAGGUAAGGCCUCAGGAUCAACUGCAGCAAGAGUGACUCUGGUUUGUCUCACUAACCCGCCUCUUGGAAUUUCCCCAGCGAUUGUGACCAAGUGUGCUGGAGAAGAUGUGCCUGGAUGGAGGAGUGGAUGCACGAAGCAGGUGCGCCUGAGUGAUGGAAGGGGUGAGCUGCAGUCGAUGCCCCAUCCAGAUCCUGGUCCCCGGCCGGCGCACACGUCCGUCGGCAGCAGCGAGAGCGGCUGCUAGUGGCUCAUUGCUUCCCCUCCUCUCUGCACAGCUGACCUCAGCUAACGGCGCUGCCCGCCCUGGGAAGUUCUGCUCCGUCCCUGCCCCGUGGCGGCCCACAGCCAUGGCUGGUUAAAAAAGGGUUCCAGGGGCCAGCCCCAUUGCUCCAGCUUGGCAUAACUCGGUAGUGCCCGUUUUCUCUGGAACCUCUCCCUUGGGUCAGAGCCAGGCUGCCCUUAGCCGGACCCACACACCCUGCUCUGCCCUGUCCCCUGCCCUCACUCCCCUCGGCUUUCGUGUGGCUUGCUCCCUGAUAAGUUACUGUCCUCCGCUCUCUGCCUCAGUCUUAUCUGGUAUGGGGUUUCCUUUUGGGUAAUGAUGGAAAGUCACAUUAUUAUCUGGUCUUGGGGGGAAUAAUUACCUAAGCAAGACUGUCCUUGGAUCUAGAAGUGGGGAGAUUGGUUACUUUAUCUAAGAGCCACAGCCCCGCCUGAGAUGUUUAUCUCAGGGGGCAGAGAGAAAGGAGCCGACAGAGGCUGUGCUCCUGCGUCUUGUGCUCCGCGGCGGCGACACGGGGGUAUUGAUCUCCUUCUGGAACCCUCCAUGCAGUUUCCGUGACUGCCUCUUUCUCCUCAUUAAUGUAACACCUACUUUCUUUCUUGUGCCCACUACCCUCUAAAUGUCUCCCCACUUUCUAAACCCCGGGUUUCUCUGCAAGUUUCCCUUCCUUGAUGACAAGUGUGACUUCUGGAGAAGAUUCACCUUCUGGGAAUCCAGGGGUUUCUCCCGGCCCACGUGGACGGGGAGACGGGAUACAGAGUGUUGGGAGGUGAGAAGCAAGAAGGAACGUUCUGGAAACAUUAUCACCGCUCAGCCCUCAGUCCGACCCGCCUUCCCCAGGAGGCCCUGAGCUCUCCUCACGGGCUCCUGCUUCAUCUUCUGUAUUUUCUCCUUAACACCUAAGACUUGACGUGAUCUCCGGUCUGUGCCUGUUUGUUUAUUAGCUGUUUCUUCCACUGGAAGUCGGCCCCAGUAUUCACUGAGCAAACGGACAACCCUUCCUGGGUCAAUACAUGUUAUCUGCCCCUUGCCUUUAAAAAAACAUGGGGUAAAAUAGCCAUGACAUAAAAUUUACCAUUUUGACCACUUUUAAGCAUACUGUUCGGUGGCAUUAAGCACAUUCAUGUUGUCGUGCAACCGUGACCACCGUCCACGUCCAGAGCGUUUCCGUCUUCCCCAGCUGAAGCUCUGGCCCCGUUAAACACUGACUCCCCAUCCCACUCCCUCCACCCCUGGCACCCGCCCCUGUUCUGCUUUCUGUCCCUAGGCACUUGACCCCUCUGGGGGCCUCGUGGAAGAGGAAUCAUACCGCACUUGUCUGUGUCUGGCUUCUUUCACUUAGCAGAAUGUCUUUCAGGUCACUCAAUGUGACACGUGUCAGAAUUUCCUCCCUUUUUUAAGGCUGAAUAAUAUUCCAUUGUCUGGAUAGGUCACACUUCAGCCUUUUCUUUUAAUGACUGAGUAGGAUAGCUUCAUUUAGUUGAAAAUUCUGUAUUGAGAGACAUUUAGCUUUCCUUUUUUAUUUUUCUAUCUACUAACGAUGCAGGAAAACAUACCCUUUAAUAUGUUUUUUAUAUACUCAUGCUAUGACUUCUGUAGGACACAUUUCUCAAAGUGGGAUGGCUGGGUCGUUGGGUAGAAGCAUUUCAAAUGUUUUUAGACACCAGCAAAUUGUUCUCCCGAAAUGUUAUACUAAUUUCUGCUUGCAGCAAAAGCAUUUGAGCGAGUCCUUUCUCUCACCCUAAGUUUCUAUCUUCUAAAAUGUUGCCAAUCUGGUAGAUAAAAUAUGAUUAGCUCAUUGUUUUUUUUUUCUUUGUUUUUAUUGAGGUAACAUUGGUUUAUAACAUUAUAGAAAUUUCAGAUGUACAUCAGUAUAUUUCAGUUUCUGUGUAGAUUACAUCAUGUUCACCACCCAAAGACUAAUUACCAUCUCUCACCACAUACGUGUACCCUCUCACCCUUUCUACCCUCCCCCCUCUGCCUGCCCCCUCUGGUGACCACCAAUCUAAUCUCUGUAUCUAUGUGUUUGUUGUUGCUUUUAUCUUCAAUUUAUCAGUGAAAUCAUACGGUAUUUGAUUUCUCUGUCUUAUUUAUUUUGCUUUUGGCAUAAUACCCUCAAAGUCCACCCACAUUGUCGCAAAUGGCAAGAUUUCAUCUUUUUUCUGGCUGAGUGGUAUUCCACUGUGUGUAUACACCACACCUUCCUUAUCCACUCAUCCAUUGAUGGGGGCUUAGGUUGUUUCCACGUCUUGGCUAUUGUGAAUAAUGCUGUAACGAACAUAGGGC